AUAGCUUUGGCUUGCUCCUUCUUCUCUCUGAUCUCAGCGUUUUCCUCUGUAUCUGACUCCGGGUUUUCAUUAUUUGGACCAGUCAAGAACUCCAUUUACAGACUGGUUUCCAGCUGUUUACUGAUGGAACUUUGUACAAAGGCAUACAUGAAUGAGAGUUUGGAGAGGGAGGCUGGUGAAACAAGGAAGCUUGCCUACCAAAGGCUCACAGGCUCUCAGGACACCAUCUGCUCUUUCUCCUGUGAACAACUUUACAACUGUGUUGGGCCCACCCAGAUGGUCCAGGAAACAUCUCCCAUCCUGCACUCAACUGACAAAUGACCACAUUUCUGUAACUGUUUAACUUCCUGUGAAGAAGCAAACCCAUGUAUUCACAAGAGACUAUAUACAGUGCCCGAGAGUAGCCAGGGGUGUCAGGGAGCCACUCAGGGGCAAAUGAAAACGUGAAGAGUUGUGUCUCAGGUCUGUGGGUGCCAAAGUCUUAGGCUCAUCAUACCACUCACCCUGGAACCCCUGUCUCUAACUCCUAAAGGAAGGAAAUAUACACGGGUGGGCCAUCAACAUACCAUCAACAAAUGCUGUAACAUUCCCUGUAGCCACAUAGCAGAAUGUUAGCAAGUUGUUAAGAAUUUAUACUUACGAAGACUUCAUCAUCACAUGGGGAAAUACUUGGAGUAUAAUGUAGUUCUUUAAAAAGCAUAUAAAAUUAUUUGUGUUUAC